UCACUUCAGCGAGAGAUUUUGCAUGUCAUCUGUUACCUGCUGAGAAGCAUUGCAAGUGAAGAGCAGCGCAGAGCCCUGGCUGUUCUAGCUCUUGGAAUCAAGUGUUUAUAUAAGAUUGUCAUCUUCCAUGUUAAAGAAAAAAAAAAAGGUUUCUCUCAUGGCUAAAGAGGAAGUUAUAACGAGCUUCUGCAUGCAAUAAGUUGCAGAGAAGACAGCAAAGAAAAGGUUACAGCUUGCUGCAUUCAUGACUGCAUUUUACAUACACGGAUCCAGUUAGUUAUUUGGAAGCAUUUCUAAGUAGUUUGUGUCAGAUGAAAAGACCAAGGAUGACAUGCUUCAGCUCCAAGCAGAAACCAUUCAGGCAACACAGAGAAAUGUGAUCAGCAAGCAGAGAGGCAUGUUGCCUGGCCAUGC